ensembl:misc_RNA Y_RNA Y RNA
GGUUGGUCCGAAGGCAGUGAGUUAUCUCACUUGAUUGUUCACAGUCAGUUACAGAUUGAACUCCUUGUUCUAAUACUUUCCCCCCUUCUCACUACUACACUCGACUGGUCUUUA